GAUGAACGCUGGCGGCGUGCCUAAUACAUGCAAGUCGAGCGAACAGACGAGGAGCUUGCUCCUCUGAUGUUAGCGGCGGACGGGUGAGUAACACGUGGAUAACCUACCUAUAAGACUGGGAUAACUUCGGGAAACCGGAGCUAAUACCGGAUAAUAUUUUGAACCGCAUGGUUCAAUAGUGAAAGACGGUCUUGCUGUCACUUAUAGAUGGAUCCGCGCUGCAUUAGCUAGUUGGUAAGGUAACGGCUUACCAAGGCAACGAUGCAUAGCCGACCUGAGAGGGUGAUCGGCCACACUGGAACUGAGACACGGUCCAGACUCCUACGGGAGGCAGCAGUAGGGAAUCUUCCGCAAUGGGCGAAAGCCUGACGGAGCAACGCCGCGUGAGUGAUGAAGGUCUUCGGAUCGUAAAACUCUGUUAUUAGGGAAGAACAAAUGUGUAAGUAACUAUGCACAUCUUGACGGUACCUAAUCAGAAAGCCACGGCUAACUACGUG
rnacentral:rRNA from 1 species